AACAAACCAAAUAAUAAAUAUUUUUUUUUCUCUCUCAAUCUCAACUGUCAGAUUGUCUGAAAUUGUUUUGAUAGUAAAAUGUUGAUUGUUGCUGGUAAACAUAGUUGAGUUGGAAAAAGUUUUUUAUGAAUAAUACAUACAAUGAAACCUGGUGGAAGACCUCUUCAUGAAAUUUGGACCCAAGGCUUCAAAAGAACCUCCAAAUGUGAUGGGAAAUUCACAGCGAAUUGUCAAUAUUGCUUUAAAGAGUUCUCAAAUACUUCAAGUGAAAGAUUAAUAAACCACAGAGCAAACUGUCAAGCAAUUGAUACACUGGCAUCAUCAUCAAGUGACAAUAAUAACAAAAUCACAUCAACAAAUUCAAAUUCUACAAUAAUUACUGAAGAUUAAGUGUCAAUUUUAAGUUAUGAUUCAGAUGCAUCCGGUGCUAGUUCACCAUCCAUCUCUUCUAGACCAUCUAAAAAAAGAAAACUAUCCAACUUAAGAUCUUUAAAUCAAUACUUUUUGUCUUUGACAGACAGUGACAAAAAAAAGAUUGAUAGAGCUGUCUUGAACUUCUUUGUCAGCUGAAAUAGCAACUGAGUGUUUGAAUAAAGCUUAUGAUCAACUUGAUGAAUCAAGAUUUCUUUUAUCAGCA